AAAUACAGAUUUAGUAAUUAAAGAAGCUGUUAGAUUCAAGGAAUAAGCUCAGAAAACAGGAAUAAGAGGGAUCACUUAUUAACAAUCAACAAAAUACCUAGGACAAUGAAUUGCAUGCCUUGGUGAUACAUGAAUAUAAUGAUACACGACCACUUCAUGUAUGAGAACACAAUUGUAGGCUUUUGUUGGAAGUCAGAAUGCAAACAGGAGACAAAGAAUCACCAACAACUUCUAAGUACUUCCAAAAGGGAA